rnacentral:rRNA from 1 species
UACGAAGGGUGCAAGCGUUAAUCGGAAUUACUGGGCGUAAAGCGUGCGCAGGCGGUGCUGUAAGACAGGCGUGAAAUCCCCGGGCUUAACCUGGGAAUGGCGCUUGUGACUGCAGUGCUGGAGUGCGGCAGAGGGGGAUGGAAUUCCGCGUGUAGCAGUGAAAUGCGUAGAUAUGCGGAGGAACACCGAUGGCGAAGGCAAUCCCCUGGGCCUGCACUGACGCUCAUGCACGAAAGCGUGGGGAGCAAACAGG